UACGGAGGAUCCAAGCGUUGUCCGGAUUUAUUGGGUUUAAAGGGUGCGUAGGCGGAUAAUUAAGUCAGUGGUGAAAUCUUGCGGCUCAACCGUAAAAUUGCCAUUGAAACUGAUUAUCUUGAGUACAGUUGAGGUGGGCGGAAUGUAUCAUGUAGCGGUGAAAUGCUUAGAUAUGAUACAGAACACCUAUUGCGAAAGCAGCUCACUAACUGCAACUGACGCUGAGGCACGAAAGCGUGGGGAUCAAACAGG
rnacentral:rRNA from 1 species